GAAGGUGACCUGUGAGGGUUGCUGGAGGUAUCAGAAGUGCGAAUGCUGACAUAAGUAACGAUAAAGCGGGUGAAAAGCCCGCUCGCCGGAAGACCAAGGGUUCCUGUCCAACGUUAAUCGGGGCAGGGUGAGUCGACCCCUAAGGCGAGGCCGAAAGGCGUAGUCGAUGGGAAACGGGUUAAUAUUCCCGUACUUGGUGUUACUGCGAAGGGGGGACGGAGAAGGCUAUGUUGGCCGGGCGACGGUUGUCCCGGUUUAAGCGUGUAGGUGUGUGUUCCAGGUAAAUCCGGUUCACUUUAACACUGAGGCGUGAUGACGAGGCACUACGGUGCUGAAGCAACAAAUGCCCUGCUUCCAGGAAAAGCCUCUAAGCAUCAGGUAACAUCAAAUCGUACCCCAAACCGACACAGGUGGUCAGGUAGAGAAUACCAAGGCGCUUGAGAGAACUCGGGUGAAGGAACUAGGCAAAAUGGUGCCGUAACUUCGGGAGAAGGCACGCUGACACGUAGGUGAAGUGAUUUACUCACGGAGCUGAAGUCAGUCGAAGAUACCAGCUGGCUGCAACUGUUUAUUAAAAACACAGCACUGUGCAAACACGAAAGUGGACGUAUACGGUGUGACGCCUGCCCGGUGCCGGAAGGUUAAUUGAUGGGGUCAGCGCAAGCGAAGCUCCUGAUCGAAGCCCCGGUAAACGGCGGCCGUAACUAUAACGGUCCUAAGGUAGCGAAAUUCCUUGUCGGGUAAGUUCCGACCUGCACGAAUGGCGUAAUGAUGGCCAGGCUGUCUCCACCCGAGACUCAGUGAAAUUGAACUCGCUGUGAAGAUGCAGUGUACCCGCGGCAAGACGGAAAGACCCCGUGAACCUUUACUAUAGCUUGACACUGAACAUUGAGCCUUGAUGUGUAGGAUAGGUGGGAGGCUUUGAAGUGUGGACGCCAGUCUGCAUGGAGCCGACCUUGAAAUACCACCCUUUAAUGUUUGAUGUUCUAACGUGGACCCGUAAUCCGGGUUGCGGACAGUGUCUGGUGGGUAGUUUGACUGGGGCGGUCUCCUCCUAAAGAGUAACGGAGGAGCACGAAGGUUGGCUAAUCCUGGUCGGACAUCAGGAGGUUAGUGCAAUGGCAUAAGCCAGCUUGACUGCGAGCGUGACGGCGCGAGCAGGUGCGAAAGCAGGUCAUAGUGAUCCGGUGGUUCUGAAUGGAAGGGCCAUCGCUCAACGGAUAAAAGGUACUCCGGGGAUAACAGGCUGAUACCGCCCAAGAGUUCAUAUCGACGGCGGUGUUUGGCACCUCGAUGUCGGCUCAUCACAUCCUGGGGCUGAAGUAGGUCCCAAGGGUAUGGCUGUUCGCCAUUUAAAGUGGUACGCGAGCUGGGUUUAGAACGUCGUGAGACAGUUCGGUCCCUAUCUGCCGUGGGCGCUGGAGAACUGAGGGGGGCUGCUCCUAGUACGAGAGGACCGGAGUGGACGCAUCACUGGUGUUCGGGUUGUCAUGCCAAUGGCACUGCCCGGUAGCUAAAUGCGGAAGAGAUAAGUGCUGAAAGCAUCUAAGCACGAAACUUGCCCCGA
rnacentral:rRNA from 1 species